UACGAAGGGGGCUAGCGUUGCUCGGAAUCACUGGGCGUAAAGGGUGCGUAGGCGGGUCUUUAAGUCAGGGGUGAAAUCCUGGAGCUCAACUCCAGAACUGCCUUUGAUACUGAGGAUCUUGAGUUCGGGAGAGGUGAGUGGAACUGCGAGUGUAGAGGUGAAAUGCGUAGAUAUUGGGAGGAACACCAGUGGCGAAGGCGGCUCACUGGACCGGUACUGACGCUGAGACGCGAAAGCGUGGGGAGCGAACAGG
rnacentral:rRNA from 1 species